UUAAGGGUAAGCUAAAAGAAGCUGUUGGGUUCAUACCUCAAAAAUGUAAAUCUCCUUAGG
rnacentral:tRNA from 1 species